rnacentral:lncRNA from 1 species
GUGUAACCUGCCUGAAACUAAGAGACUUGACACGCCCUGGUUCCUGGAAGUGUCCUGCCAGGACCCUUUCCCUGGGGGUGUGCUCAGCAAGACACUUGCCUGAAUCCCUGCGUCACCUGGCGUUCCCAAGGCCUUGUCCCAGUUAGAGGAUUGGGAGUUCUCCAGUUGGAAACCAAGGCUGUUUUCCUCCAAAUAGAGCACCAACAUUCUCUGGGCUUGGCAGUCUUAAUAAAGCCUGCCCCACUGUGGCUACCUGAGAUUCACCAGGACCCCAGGUCUCCUGCACUGCCCGUCUCCAGUACCCAAUCCCGGGUCAGCACCUGACCCAGUUCUCCUGACAGCUCUCCAAUACGCCCUUACACUGCUCCUUCUCACAGAAUUACCCCCAAAGGAUUCUUCCUUCUCCAACUUCUGAAGGACGCCUAUAUAAGGACUCCCUGUCCUAUCUGAAAAAUGGAGUCUCCGAGUAACCGC